GUUUCAUUCGCGGAUCAAGAAGGAAAAAUAAUAUGAAUUGAUCUUUAACAUUAAAAUUCGCGAGUCGUCUAACGCUUUUUUUUCUGCAAUUAUUUUAAUUAAACUACUUGUUCCGAAAAACAUCACUCAAAGGACACUGAAAUAGACUAUACCAUAGAAAUAACAGGUGGAGGACCGUUAGUGCAACUCGCUUUGAACUUCCGUGGAUAAUACUUGGAACUGGUCAUGUCCUUAAUAUUUUAACAACGUGUAGCAUACAAAAAAGGUCGAUGCUAUUUUCGAGAGGAAAAAUUGAAGAGAGGAAGGAUCACGUAAUGGAUAGAUACUUAUUCGACGGUUCAAAAAUUUUAGGAUGUGGUCAUCGAAUUCGUAUGCAUGAAAGAAACCGAUGUCAUCGAUAUAUAGUCACGGAAGACGACUAACGGAGAAACUUGAUUCGGUCAGAUUAGACGUCCAUUCGGUCGAUGACCUUACUUUUACAUAGUCAAAGAACCUUCUGCUGUUUAUUCAUUGAUCUUUGGAAGCUAUAAAUGAUGACUAAAUUGGGAAACAUUCGUGCCUUUCUUUUUAUGCCUUGAAAUGAACAAGUU